AAAUUGAAGAGUUUGAUCAUGGCUCAGAUUGAACGCUGGCGGCAGGCCUAACACAUGCAAGUCGAACGGUAACAGGAAGCAGCUUGCUGCUUCGCUGACGAGUGGCGGACGGGUGAGUAAUGUCUGGGAAACUGCCUGAUGGAGGGGGAUAACUACUGGAAACGGUAGCUAAUACCGCAUAACGUCGCAAGACCAAAGGGGGGGGACCUUCGGGCCUCUUGCCAUCGGAUGUGCCCAGAUGGGAUUAGCUUGUUGGUGGGGUAACGGCUCACCAAGGCGACGAUCCCUAGCUGGUCUGAGAGGAUGACCAGCCACACUGGAACUGAGACACGGUCCAGACUCCUACGGGAGGCAGCAGUGGGGAAUAUUGCACAAUGGGCGCAAGCCUGAUG
rnacentral:rRNA from 1 species